UCGAGCGGUAAGGCCCUUCGGGGUACACGAGCGGCGAACGGGUGAGUAACACGUGGGUGAUCUGCCUCGCACUCUGGGAUAAGCCUGGGAAACUGGGUCUAAUACCGGAUAUGACUUUCGGAUGCAUGUUCGAGGGUGGAAAGAUUUAUCGGUGCGAGAUGGGCCCGCGGCCUAUCAGCUUGUUGGUGGGGUAACGGCCCACCAAGGCGACGACGGGUAGCCGACCUGAGAGGGUGACCGGCCACACUGGGACUGAGACACGGCCCAGACUCCUACGGGAGGCAGCAGUGGGGAAUAUUGCACAAUGGGCGAAAGCCUGAUGCAGCGACGCCGCGUGGGGGAUGACGGCCUUCGGGUUGUAAACCCCUUUUGACAGGGACGAAGCGCAAGUGACGGUACCUGUAGAAGAAGCACCGGCCAACUACGUGCCAGCAGCCGCGGUAAUACGUAGGGUGCGAGCGUUGUCCGGAAUUACUGGGCGUAAAGAGCUUGUAGGCGGUCUGUCACGUCUUCUGUGAAAACUUGGGGCUCAACCUUAAGCUUGCAGGGGAUACGGGCAGACUAGAGUACUUCAGGGGAGACUGGAAUUCCUGGUGUAGCGGUGAAAUGCGCAGAUAUCAGGAGGAACACCGGUGGCGAAGGCGGGUCUCUGGGAAGUAACUGACGCUGAGAAGCGAAAGCAUGGGUAGCAAACAGGAUUAGAUACCCUGGUAGUCCAUGCCGUAAACGGUGGGUACUAGGUGUGGGUUUCCUUCCACGGGAUCCGUGCCGUAGCUAACGCAUUAAGUACCCCGCCUGGGGAGUACGGCCGCAAG
rnacentral:rRNA from 1 species